ensembl:lncRNA
CCCGAAUCAGCCCAGAAUGAGCCAGCUGACACCUCUGAUGACUCAGUUUCUCUCCACGUUGAAGGUGCGGUUCAUGAGCGCUGGAGCGCGUCACUAAGCCCCGCCCCCCCCGCUCGCUAUGACUCCGUCAAACCGUCAGAGCAACAUCACCAUGGAGACCGAACUGUCGCUAGCUUAAUGAAUGUGGUGUUGUCUGAGGGGAGGAAACCAAGUAACAACUCAACAGAGAAACAGACAUGAGUUUCUAAAACGUUUCGGCGGAGGACACGUUUAAGAUGAUAAGAUGAUAAGAUAAAACGAAAAGACAGAAGCGAAAGCUAAAGCUAAUAGCAUCAAAGUCAAUCAAACACAGCAUAGCAUAGAAGUGCUACCGCCAGGUGAUAAAGCGCUAACACUAGUUUAAUGGUCUGCUAGUGUUUUCUCCACACUUUUUUUCUUUGCAACGGAACCUUUUUUCUAAGUCUGAAACGUCAGCUCGAAGGUCUUCAGAAAAGGGACCUGAAGGCAUCUCCCAGCUUCUCCUCUUGCAGCACCUUGAGAGCUGCUGCUGGUCCCCGAGGGGCCGACGGGACGAUCUUUAUUAUUAUAAUGUACUUUCCUUAAUUCCCCUCUGAUUGAAAACACAUCUGACUUCAGCCACUCAUACUUUCCUUUUCUUACCACUGAAAGAUUUAACUUACAAGACAUAGUCUGCACACACACGAUAAUAACUGGUUAAUUAACAACUAUUUCCUUAAUGUUAACCAUUAAGACGUAGCAUGCUAACACGCUAGGUGUCUUUGUGUUUGCUCGUCGAUGUUAACCAGGGGAAAGCAGGCACUCACAUGUUGACGUGGCAGCUUCACAGAGCUGCCAACAGACGUGUAGACUCUCAGGUGUGUGUGUGUGUGUGUGUGUGUGUGUGUGUGUGUGUGUGUGUUCGCUUCCCGCCCUUUGUCUGCAGGCGGUGAUAAAUGCGUUAUCUCACUGCACCAACGUUCCCUUUUCACGUAAUAACCGGCGGGGCUUUGACUUUGUUCCUGCCGACUUCAGAAGCGUCACAGCCGCCCGUACCGUCGCCUCCUACGAAGACGUCCUAAUCAUACGCACACACACACACACACACACACACACACUUUGCGUGUGCGAGCGCUUGCUUUCAGAGCGCCACGCAGAGCGAGAGGGUCAAAGGUCAAGGCAAAGCCUGAAGGGGAUUGAAUAAUCGCUCAUUGUCAUCAAGGUGAAAGACGGACAUGCGUGUAAUAUGAAGGCUCGAACAUGAGGACGUGUGAUUGACAUUCUACAGACGAAGCAGUGGGACAAUUAAGCUGACGUCUCUGGCGGCUCGGACGGGGAUUAACGUCCAAUUUGCCGCUCUCUUCCUGGGCUCAGGUCUGUCCCAACAGCUCGGCACUUCAAAGGGGGCAGAUGUGAGGGCAGAGGAGGGUCGGCCAUUCUUCGCGGGGCAAUCGGCUUAGUCGAGCUCUGUUUAAAAUGGCAGCAGCACAAAAAAGGUGAAAGCUGUUUUGAUGUGCUGCGGAGUGUGAGGGGUCGGGCCAGCUGUACAGUAGCCCCCCCGCCCCCCCCCCCCAACAUGAGACCAUGCGCGGGCUUGUUCCCUUUGCCCGCCUGCAUCUCUGGGGAUCAAUCGGGAUUAAAAAGGUCAGAUUUUUCUCUCAUUUGGGCAGCGUUAAUGCAUGUGGUAUGAAUGGUGUUUUUGCAGGUGCAAUAUGAGAAGUAUAUAGAAAUAUUUGGAAGCAGCUAAUCGUCAAGACUUAAGUUUGUUGAAAUUAUCUUAUGAUUUUCUUUUUACAUUUUGAGUGCAAAUGGGCCUAAAGGUCAAAAAUGUGGACACCAAAAAGCUGAAAUAUAAAUUGAAUGUAUCCUUUGUGCAGUAAUGACGAUGACAGAAACUUUUCAGUGAUAUUUAUUCAGUGGUUUUCAGCCGUCGGCUUCAGUAACCUGCAGCGCAGAAGCAACAUGGAGAAUCCCACAUGAAAUCCUUUUCUGUUUCCUUUCCUUUCCACCGCCUCCUCUCCCUUCAGGUCUCAACACGCUCUUCUCCCACCGAGUGUAGAAAACAAGCAGCAACAAGUCAGUGGGGAGCACUCGCCUCAGGUUGAGGGGAACCAGCGUAAACAAACACUGCUGGAGGGUCCGAGAGGCGAUAAUUCUCCAAUAACCAAACCAAUAACAUCACUGUGGUAUUUACCAAUAACAUCACUGUGGUAUUUACCAAUAACAUCACUGUGGUAUUUACCAAUAACCUCACUGUGGUAUUUACCAAUAACAUCACUGUGGUAUUUACCAAUAACCUCACUGUAGUAUUUACCAAUAACCUCACUGUGGUAUUUACCAAUAACAUCACUGUGGUAUUUACCAAUAACAUCACUGUAGUAUUUACCAAUAACAGGUAUUUACCAAUAACAUCACUGUGGUAUUUACCAAUAACC